GCCGAAAAGAUAAAUCACUUGGCCCAAGUAUGUAUGUAGAUUCGAUAGUCUUGGACUCUUGGGUUGUCUACUAUUUAGGCCACGCCUGGCCUGGUUUGCUCUAUUGGGCUUUUUUGUAAUUUCUCAUCGUUAAUUGCCCAUUUGUGAAACCAACACCCUCUAACAACCAAACGUAUAUAAAGUAAAAACCCCUUCACUGAGCUGCUUCCUCUUCCCGCAGCCUCCGAGUUUGCUUAGGGUUUUCAACAUUUUCUCGGGGAAAACAAAGAGGAAGCGAAAAUGGUGAAAUUUCUCAAGGCAAACAAAGCGGUGGUGCUCCUGCAGGGACGAUACGCGGGCAGGAAAGCCGUGAUCGUGAAAUCCUUCGAGGAAGGGACACGUGACAGGCCGUACGGGCACUGUUUGGUUGCGGGGAUAGCCAAGUACCCGAGCAAGGUAAUCAGAAAGGACUCGGCCAAGAAGACGGCCAAGAAGUCCCGGGUCAAGGCCUUCGUGAAGCUCGUGAACUACCAGCACAUGAUGCCGACGCGCUACAACCUGGACGUCGACCUGAAGGAGGUGCUCACGGUGGACGCAUUGCAGACACGCGACAAGAAGGUAGCGGCGAAGAAGGAGAUCAAGGCCCGGUUGGAGGACCGGUUCAAGAGUGGCAAGAACCGAUGGUUCUUCACCAAGCUUAGCUGCUGCUGCUUUGACUCUGAAAGCAUCAUCAACCAAUCAACUUCCCACAAAAUACCCAAUGCCACGUGUACUAUAUUGACGCGUCCUUUGGUGUUGGCGGCUGCCAGCCGAGUACGAAAUAUUCAUAAGAGUAAGACUGUGGCCAGAAGAAAACCAAAAUAUUUGUAUGAGCUCUCCUCCAAUCAUUUUUUUUCCCCAAACGAAAGAAAGUUUAUUAAAGUCGAACGGAAAGGUUUAUCAAAAACUCACUCAGUCCACACUUGGUUCCAUAUUCUUGACACAAAAGCCGCAACCCAGUGCGUUGCCUUAUUACACUGAAGGGGAGUAUCUUUGAAAACUACCUGCUGCAACUGUCCAGCAAGCAUCUAUCUUCAAGACUGCUCAUCAUGAGUCACGAUCACCACCAUCAUCACCAGGCUCCAGAGGUAUAUCCACCACCACCACCUUCCGAUGCAGUUCACGGAAACAGUCAAGGUGGUCCAUAUGUUGUUGCACCACCAGUUGCUUACCCCAUGAAACAUGAUGGUCCUGAAUACCCCCACCAACCACCUACCUACCCCGAGCAACAACAGCAACCUGCAGAGUCUCAUCAUCGUGGGAGUGAUGGAUUUUGCACAAGAUGUUGUUUUGCCAUGUUGAGCUGUUUCUGCGACUCGUGCUGCGUGCCGUUAGGUAGCGAAGCUUACCUUUCCAAUCACACACGGUAGUCAACUUCACAAUCUCCUCCUAGCAAUUAGCUUUUCCUGCUGUAAAUCAGAUUGUAUUCAUGUUUAUAUUAUUUCCUACCAUAAGUAGAUAUCUUGUAUUAGUAUAAAUUGUGACUUUGUGUAAUUUAUUUAAUACAAGGAAAUAUAUUUUUUACAUGGUAUCAGCCUAAACUUGGGUUUCCUCCCUCUCCCUUAUUCAAUCCAAUCCUCUCCUUUAGGUCCACCUCAUAGUUUCAUCUGAAUCCACCAUCUCCCUCCCUAGCCCUAACUCUUCUCAUUUUAUCAAGCUUACUGACUCCAACUAUCUCCUUUGGCUCUGCCAACUCAAACCAUUUUUAGUCGGUCAUGACCUCUGGAAAUUUAUUGAUAGCACUCAUAAACAACCUUUUUCCCAAACCUCCACUUCUACCACUGCAACACCCACAACCACUACCGCCACUCUUACCCAAACCAAUCUUGCCCAUGCUCAGUGGUACCAACAAGACCAACUCAUUGUUAGCUACAUCACCGGUACACUCUCUGAGUCCAUUCUCUCUCUCACCGUCAGCUGCACCUCUUCCCAGGAUCUUUGGGAGUGUCUCCAACGCCACUUCUCUCAAUCCAGUAUGGCCAGUGAAUCUGCUCUUUGUUUUCAACUCAUGGAUAUGAAAAAGGCUCUCAACCCAUUGAUGAUUACCUUCGUCAUGCUAAGUCCCUUGCCGAUUCACUAGCUACCAUCAAUGAACCUAUCUCCGGGAAAUCACCUGGAAAGGUCGAAAUAGUACUCUCACCUCGUGUCAUCAUGAGCAAUAGUACUCGUUCAUAAUCAUGUUAGCAUAUAAUUUUGAGGAGGAUUAUUAUUGCAAGUUUUGGUUUAAAUUUGUGCUUAA